rnacentral:rRNA from 1 species
GAUGAACGCUAGCGGCAGGCCUAACACAUGCAAGUCGAGGGGCAUCAUGGCGUAGCAAUACGCUGAUGGCGACCGGCGCACGGGUGCGUAACGCGUAUGGAACCUACCCACCGCAGGGGGAUAACCCGCCGAAAGGCGGACUAAUACCCCAUGGUUCCCCGACCCUGCCUGGGGUUGGGGGUAAAGCCUACGGGCGGCGGUGGAUGGCCCUGCGUGCCAUUAGCUGGCUGGUGGGGUAACGGCCCACCAGGGCGACGAUGGCUAGGGGGUCUGAGAGGACGAUCCCCCACACUGGUACUGAGACACGGACCAGACUCCUACGGGAGGCAGCAGUGAGGAAUAUUGGUCAAUGGGCGGAAGCCUGAACCAGCCAUGCCGCGUGCAGGAUGACGGCCCUACGGGUUGUAAACUGCUUUUCCCGGGGCGAAUAACCCCUCGCGAGGGGAGUGCCGGUACCGGGGAAGUAAGGAUCGGACUAACUCCGUGCCGAGCAGCCGCGGUAAACUCGUCUCUA